AACGCUAGCUACAGGCUUAACACAUGCAAGUCGAGGGGCAGCAUCAUCAAAGCUUGCUUUGAUGGAUGGCGACCGGCGCACGGGUGAGUAACACGUAUCCAACCUGCCGACAACACUGGGAUAGCCUUUCGAAAGAAAGAUUAAUACCGGAUGGCAUAGUUUUUCCGCAUGGGAUAAUCAUUAAAGAAUUUCGGUUGUCGAUGGGGAUGCGUUCCAUUAGGCAGUUGGCGGGGUAACGGCCCACCAAACCAACGAUGGAUAGGGGUUCUGAGAGGAAGGUCCCCCACAUUGGAACUGAGACACGGUCCAAACUCCUACGGGAGGCAGCAGUGAGGAAUAUUGGUCAAUGGACGAGAGUCUGAACCAGCCAAGUAGCGUGAAGGAUGACUGCCCUAUGGGUUGUAAACUUCUUUUAUACGGGAAUAAAGUGAGCCACGUGUGGCUUUUUGUAUGUACCGUAUGAAUAAGGAUCGGCUAACUCCGUGCCAGCAGCCGCGGUAAUACGGAGGAUCCGAGCGUUAUCCGGAUUUAUUGGGUUUAAAGGGAGCGUAGGCGGGUUGUUAAGUCAGUUGUGAAAGUUUGCGGCUCAACCGUAAAAUUGCAGUUGAUACUGGCGACCUUGAGUGCAACAGAGGUAGGCGGAAUUCGUGGUGUAGCGGUGAAAUGCUUAGAUAUCACGAAGAACUCCGAUUG
rnacentral:rRNA from 1 species